rnacentral:sRNA from 1 species
UUGACUUUGCCGCUUUUUCGUCCUAACUUGCAGGAUGAAGGGUAAGGGAGGAUUUCUCCUCCCCCUGGCGUCUUAGUAAGCCGGUAAGCUAAUCACUAAGAGUAUCACCAGUAUGAUGACCAGGUUCAUCAUAACCCUUUCCUUAUU